GAUGAAGAACGUAGCGAAAUGCGAUAAGUAAUGCGAAUUGCAGAAUUCAGUGAGUCAUCGAAUCUUUGAACGCACAUUGCGCCCUGUGGUAUUCCGCAGGGCAUGCCUGUUCGAGCGUCAUUUCAACCCUCAAGCCUCGCUUGGUGUUGGGCCCUGCCCGCCGCGGCCGGCCCUAAAGAUAGUGGCGGCGCCACCUGGCCCUCAGCGUAGUACAGCUCUCGCUCCAGGGUCCGGCGGCAGCCUGCCAGAACCCCCCAACUCUGUGGUUGACCUCGGAUCAGGUAGGGAUACCCGCUGAACUUAAGCAUAUCAAUAAGCGGAGGA
rnacentral:misc_RNA from 1 species